rnacentral:rRNA from 1 species
CACGUAGGCACCAAGCGUUGUCCGGAUUUAUUGGGCGUAAAGAGCUCGUAGGCGGCUUGUCGCGUCGCUGUGAAAAACUCGGGGGCUCAACUCCGAGCUUGCAGUCGAUACGGGCAGGCUAGAGUUCGGUAGGGGGAGACUGGAAUUCCUGGUGUAGCGGUGAAAUGCGCAGAUAUCAGGAGGAACACCGAUGGCGAAGGCAGGUCUCUGGGGCCAUACUGACGCUGAGGAGCGAAAAGCGUGGGGG